rnacentral:rRNA from 1 species
AUAAUUUAUUUAUUUUGUUUAGUUAUUUGUUAAUUAAAUUAUAGUAAUAAAAUCAAUUUUAAAAGUAUUAUUGUUUUUGUAUAUGUUAUAAAUAAAAUUUAUAUAAUUAUAGUUAAUUUGUAUAGUGAUAGAUUAUUGAAAUAAUUUGAAAAAUUUUUUGAUUAAAAGUAUAAUUUAUUUUUAGUACCUUGUGUAUCAGGGUUUAUUAAUUAAAAUUUAUUUAUAAAUAUAUUUCUCGAUUUUAAGAGAUCUAGUAAAUUAUAUUAGUUAUUGUAGCAUAAUUAUUAAAAAUAAUUUAUUAGUAAUGAAAUGUUAUUCGUUCUUAAAUAUAUCUAGUUUUUUAAGAAAUGAAUUUAAUUCAGAUGUUAAAUUUUAUUAAUUUAUUUAUUUAUUUAUAAUAAUAUUAUUUUAAUUUAAUAUUAAUAUUUUAUGGGAUUAGCUUUAGAAUAUAUACUAUAAAAAUAAUUAAUUUAAUAAAAAAGUUUAACCUUGGAAAUAGGUAUUAUUUUAAUUAUGUUAUAAUUUAUUUUUUUUUAUUUAUAAUUUUUUUUUAUUUUAGGGAUUUAUUAAAAUAAAUUUAUUAAUAACAAUUAAUUGAUAAUAAUGAUAAAAUUAGUAUAAUUAUAAUAUUAAAAAUUAUUUAAUUUUUAGAUUAAUAUAAGGAAUUCGGCAAAUUUUAUAAUACUCGCCUGUUUAUCAAAAACAUGUCUUUUUGAAUAUAAUUUAAAGUCUAAUCUGCCCACUGAUUUAUUAAAUGGCCGCGGUAUCUUGACCGUGCAAAGGUAGCAUAAUCAUUAGUCUUUUAAUUAAGGGCUAGAAUGAACGAUUGGACGAAGUAUUAACUGUCUCAUUUUAAUUAUUAUUAGAAUUUAAUUUUUGAGUUAAAAAGCUUAAAUUUAAUUAAAGGACGAGAAGACCCUAUAGAGCUUUAUAAAAAUUUAUUUAUAAAAUUUAUAUUAGAUUUAUUUUACAAUUAUAAAUAAUUUUAUUUUAUUGGGGUGAUAAGAAGAUUAAAAUAACUCUUUUUAGAUUUUACAUUAAUGUAUGAAUUUUUGAUCCUGUAUUAUAGAUUAUAAGACUAAGUUACCUUAGGGAUAACAGCGUAAUUUUUUUUGAGAGUUCUUAUCGACAAAAUAGAUUGCGACCUCGAUGUUGGAUUAAGAGUUAAUUUUGGGUGUAGAAGUUCAAAGUAUAGGUCUGUUCGACCUUUAAAUUCUUACAUGAUCUGAGUUCAGACCGGCGUAAGCCAGGUCGGUUUCUAUCCUUAAUUAUAGUAAAAUACUUUAGUACGAAAGGACCAAGUAUUUAGAAUAUGUUCUUUUUUAUUGAAUAUUAUUAAUUAAAU